rnacentral:rRNA from 1 species
UAGGGAAUCUUCGGCAAUGGGGGGAACCCUGACCGAGCAACGCCGCGUGAGUGAAGAAGGUUUUCGGAUCGUAAAGCUCUGUUGUUAAGGAAGAACGAGUGUGAGAAUGGAAAGUUCAUGCUGUGACGGUACUUAACCAGAAAGGGACGGCUAACUACGUGCCAGCAGCCGCGGUAAUACGUAGGUCCCGAGCGUUGUCCGGAUUUAUUGGGCGUAAAGCGAGCGCAGGCGGUUAGAAAAGUCUGAAGUGAAAGGCAGUGGCUCAACCAUGGUAGGCUUAGGAAACUGUUUAACUGGAGUGCAGAAGGGGAGGGUGGAAUUCCAUGUGUAGCGGUGAAAGGCGUAGAUAUAUGGAGGAACACCGGUGGCGAAGGUGGCUCUCUGGUAUGUAACUGACGCUGAGGCUAGAAAGGGUGGGGAGCGAACAGG